UUCUUUUUGGAGAGUUUGAUCCUGGCUCAGGACGAACGCUGGCGGCGUGCCUAAUACAUGCAAGUCGAGCGGACCUCAUAGGAAGCU
rnacentral:rRNA from 1 species